rnacentral:rRNA from 1 species
CAGCCGCCGCGGGAAUACGAAGGGUGCAAGCGUUAAUCGGAACUACUGGGCGUAAAGCGUGCGUAGGCGGUUUGUUAAGUCUGUUGUGAAAUCCCCGGGCUCAACCUGGGAAUGGCAAUGGAUACUGGCAAGCUAGAGUGUGUCAGAGGAUGGUGGAAUUCCCGGUGUAGCGGUGAAAUGCGUAGAGAUCGGGAGGAACAUCAGUGGCGAAGGCGGCCAUCUGGGACAACACUGACGCUGAGGCACGAAAGCGUGGGGAGCAAACAGGAUUAGAUACCCCUGUAGUCCCUGUCUCUUAUAA